AAAUUUACAUUGAUCAGAUAAAUAUGACUUAAACCAGCUUAGUGGAAUUCCUUUAAUGCCAACUAAAUUUUCCAGUCUCUGUAACAGGAUGGUAUGGUCAAUAGUGUUAAAUGCAGCACUAUGAUCUAGUAAAACAAGAAUUGAGACAAGUUCUUUGUCUGCAGCAGAUUAAAAA